AUCAAGUGGGCAAUUGAGGAGCAGAAGUAGCACUACCCUUUUACCCUUGAUUGCUUCAUUCUUAGCCUUUGAUUGCUUCAUUAACGUCUGCCCUAACAAAGCUUUCGAUUGAUUCUUGGAUUGCAUUGUUGCAACCAAAUUGACCAAUGGAUGAGAAGGCAGAGAGCAUCGCACUAAUGAAGAUAAGGUCACCCUGUGAUGUUGAGGCAUUAAAGAAAUGUUUGGAGGAGAACGACGGGGACUACGUGAAAUGCCAAUCUCAAAUUGAGGCAUUCAAGUCCUCAUGUUCACUAAAGAAGCCGAACACAUCUCAAGAAUCUGCACCACAGCUCAGAACUGGUGUGGUCUCUGGCCUCUGACAAUCGAAGUUCUUUGAUUUGAAUUAAAAUUUCUAUCUCGGUCUUUAUUUUUGUAAUUUAUUUUUUCAAGUUUCUUUGCUGAAUAUUCGGAAUUGUAGUUUCUUUUUUUUUUUGAAUAUUUUAUUUAUGAACUUAGAAUAAGCUUGGGAUAAAUUUUCAAGGCCUAAUUGUACUGCUGUAAUCGAAGUUUGAGUCGAACGUUUAGAACUGGUUGCUUUUCAAUGUUGGUUAUCUGGGAAUAAGAUGUUAAUCUUAGCCGAAUUCUGUCUACAAUUGCACUCGGUAAAACUGGGUUGAUUACUUUUUUUACGAAGGGCGCACCUUUUGUAUGUUGGAGUCUCUGUUGGAAAGAUGAUGUGAUGGAGCUGAGAAUGUUGGAGUCUCUGCAUCAUGGAUCUAGAUUGCAAUUAUACUCUAUGGAUAUGCUUGCUUAAAUCAUGUUCUCACUUUGCUUCUUUUCUUUUUUGCUCAAUUAUUCGCUAUUGAGUGUUGAGGUAUGAAGAGUCCUGCCAGUUGGUCGCUGUUCUAGCUAGGAGGCAUGCAUGGGGAGUUGUUUUGCCAUAAUUUUGCCGAUUUUGUUUCUCAAAAUUAUUUAGAUUUCAGGUUUACUGGGUUGAUAAUUGAUAGAAAAUGAGAAAGUUGAUUAUGAUUUUAGGCAAACAUUUUAUGUUUUCAUUAUCUGCUUCUUAGAAUGUAUUUAGGUGUUUUCUUUUGUAUACUUCCUAUGUACAUGGGUAUCACCUAUUUCAUUCGUUUCAAUAAAAUUGUCUUUCUUAUUUAUAAAAAAAAGGGCAAACAUAUUUUUAAACCAUUGAUGAAAAAUAGGACACUGAAGGUAUUACUGAAAUGAGUCAGAUAAGAUGGAUUGAAAUUACAUGCAUUGAAAAAUAUUUUUUCAGAAAGUAGAAGAAUAGUCCGAGGAAAGUAAGGCUCAAUAUUUCUUUGGUAGGUAAAAUAAUAGUCUGGAAAAUUACCUGACUCAAGUUAAGCUGCUAUUGAGACAGAUUAUGCUUAUAACCGGCCACUCUGGCUUUACAGUUGAUUCAUACUCUCAGCAUACAAGAGUAAAGCUUAUAUCAUAGCAAGUUUGUAGUUAGCAUUUGAGCUGAAUGUUCAGGUGCUUUUUUCCUACAAUCAGGCUUGUUAAAAGUUAAGCAUGAUUUUUUUCAUGUACAAACUUAAGUCAUCUAAAAGUCUAGAUUGUAAGCUGACUUUGGCUACCUCAGACAAAGGUGUUGUUUUCUUUUCCUGAUCAAUGGAGUGAUUCUAUCCUUUGCCAAAUUUACCAUUAUACAUCUUUGAGUAAUGUACCAUAUCAUCUAUCUAGGCAGCAAAUAAUGUAUCUAAUCCUCUAAGCACACUUCCUUGGCUGUACAUGGUAUUGUUUUUACUGCUGAAUUGUCUUCGUCUAAGACUGCUAUUGUUUUUACUGUAUUUGAGUUGCACAUGGCAUCAUCUUCAUCUAAUCAUUUUAUGUUAGUGUUGUUAAUUUUACUCUAGUUCAUAGAGGCCUGAAUGGGGUGGCUGUUGUACAUCCAGUGUUUAUGACCCUCUGUGAAAUUAGGACCUAAAAACCGAUGGCAGGAAGUUAUUGCAGCGUCCACUCUAUUAGGGUUUAUCCUGCUCUUUUAUAGAUUGCAGUUAUCAAUUGUUUCGAAAGUUGUCUUGAAUCACCUGUAUUUCUAUCCAACAUCUUAGUUGCAUGAAGUUCUCUACUCUCUUUCUCUAUGCUUGAAUUAUCAAGAUCUUUUUGGUAAAUUGCACGCUGUGUUCCCUCAAGCAAAAGGAAAAAGAAACGAAAACAUCUCUCUUAACUUCCAUCUUUUUCAUUCUUAUACUUGAUACUUGCUAGAAAGGAAUGAAAACUUUUCCCGUCUACUCUGUUUAAUCAAUGACUUCGCUUGUAAUUUCAACCAUAAAAUUCUAAGGUUUGUGGAAGAAAAAUAUUUAAUGGAAUUGUGAUUGCCAAUUUAUUUAUAUGUAUUUAUAUGUUAAAUUGAAGCAGGUUUAAGAACAUACUCCCCUAAUCACCAAAAAAUGUACACUAGAAUAAAAAAAAUGGUCUCCAUCUAGGGCCUAAAAACAAGGGCGACUGCUUGGAAUGCCAAAUUCCAUUAGAAGUUUUGAAGUUCUUAAACUCUCUCAAGAAACAUAGCCUGCUUAGUCUUGGUACUGAUCUUCCCUUAAUUUCUAUUUUAAGAGUUACAUUAUUGCAAACUUGGUUUUAUGUUAUUAAGUGUAGUCUUCUUGUGAGUGUCUGAAUGCUUGAAAUUAAAGAAGGAUUUUAGUUCACGAAAAAACAUGUAACUUGCUUUUCGAAAUAUUCUAAAGAAUUGAACGUCUAUCCACCAUUGCACCCUCUCCGAAGACUCUCUCAAGAAAAUAACUCUCUGGUGUGCUCUUGCCAUUUGAUCUCAAGAAAACUACUAGAACCCUUUUCAUUUUUCUCCCCGCUUUUUCUCUCCUUUCCUCUUGUUCUGCUGGUGUUAUGGACCUCGAGGAAGGGGAAGAGGAGAUAGGGACCUGAAGCUUCAAAGGGGCAGAUUGAAGUGUUCUGUUGAAAAUGGAGAAGUGCAGGUUAAGGUUGUUUCGAAGGGACUCUAAACACAGCGUUGGAUAGAAUUACCCAAGCUCUUAACGCACCGUUUCGAUUACUCAUGAAAAGCACCGUUUGAAUAAAAGCCUGGAAGGAGACACGUCAUUUGGGCCUCCAGGUACAAAGGGUUUAUGCCAUUUAUUUUCCCCACGCUAGAAGAGCCUUCAUGAGGGGAGCUGGCAGAAGCAGGCAACAUGACCUUAUCUCCUCCUGAUUUAAAGUUUUUGUUGGUAGUAGUUAGGUAUUCUUCUUGUAUUUUGGCCAAUCCAAAGGUUACAUUUAAACUUAUUGGGUUUAACAUUCGCAGGAGCAAGCGUAUUUCAUCCUUUAACCCGCUGAGAAAACAGCUGAGUGUGUGCACAUCUGAGAGUCACUUGAGUCUGUUGGACAAAGCUUCAAACUAUGCCACUGUGGAGGUUUGCUUCAUCCUGGUCAAAGCUUCCAUGGGAUCAUUAUAAGCCGUGGGUCCAAACCUAAUUUGGAGAGCUCAUGUGAAAGUCUCCCAGUUGGUGAAAUGGUCACUGUCCCAGGCAUCUUGAUACUAGAUAAGUGAUUCCCCUUGCAUAUGUUGUUUGGUUGCUAUUGGUUUAAUAUGGAUAUUUGGUUUGGUUCGGAUAUCAGAGGAGGCAUAUGGUAGUGAUGAGAGAUUCUAGGGUUAGGAAUUAGAGGUUGGGCAUGAAGAGGGAAGAUAUUGUUAGCAUAAGAGACAAUACUAACUAGGAUUCUAAGAGAAGCAUGUUGUGCUUGUGGUUGGAGAUCUAACAAGCUGGGAGUGUUCUUUAGUCAUUGCUUCUUUUCAUCUUCUUCUUCAAGCAUUGCACCAACCUCUUGCCUCAUAUAGCUUAAACUUUCAUUGCAGUUGUUCUUGAAUUCUCUUAUUUUUUGCAGAAUGCAUUUGUUGUGAUUGUUCAACCAGUUC